UACCAGCACCCCGAGUGGUCGGGACGUUUAUUGGGCCUAAAGCAUCCGUAGCCGGUUCUACAAGUCUUCCGUUAAAUCCACCUGCUCAACAGAUGGGCUGCGGAAGAUACUAUGGAGCUAGGAGGCGGGAGAGGCAAGCGGUACUCGAUGGGUAGGGGUAAAAUCCGUUGAUCCAUUGAAGAACACCGGUGGCGAAGGCGGCCUGCUGGGCAGUAGCUGACGCUGAGGCGCGACAGCGUGGGGAGCAAACAGG
rnacentral:rRNA from 1 species